CUUUUUUAAAAGAGACUCAAAAUACAUUUAAAAGAAAAAAUAAUGGCCUAGAAGGGGCUGGCCCUCCUCCUAGGCCUUAACUAACUCCGUUCAGUAAAAAUCUCCCUCUCAACUUAAAAAAUAAAUAAGGCUCACAUAGUCACAUAGUGAAACUCCCAUUCUGCCUACUACGAAGCGAAAUAAAUAAUUGAUUUUGAAAACUUCGCACUUUAAAAUCUGAAUCUAAAAUGUAAACACAACAAUAAUUCCUUAGUGUGCUUUUUUAACUUCUUCAACUGAAUUAAACGUUCCAUUAAGGCAAGUAACGGCAGCCUCAAAUCUUAAUAUGUAAGAUCGUAGAUGUAGGGUAUGUGGAAGUUAACAUUGCCGAAGUUUGAGACAAAGAUGGCAAAGGAGGCAUGUCUGUGUCCUUUAAUUAUGAAAACCUUAUUCUAAUAAGGGAUUAAUUAAUCAAUCACUUAUUAGUUUAGUGGUUGACAUUUUAUCAGCUCAUCUCUAAGCGACAUAGUGAAAAUUUGUUGUCAAAUACUUUGCAAAAUGUUUCCGUACUAUAUUAGACCUUUACCUUUUGAAUACACAUGGUAGAUGCUCAAGCCAAUUCAACUUUAAGGUUUUGGAAGUGCCUUGCCUUCGUAUUUGAUUAUUGGCGGUGGUCACAAGUCAAGUUUUCUAAUGGUUAAUGGCUCCUAUAUAAUUAGUCAAAGAUAAACUACGGCCCACGCCCAUUGAAUUGUCUUAGAGCCUUGAAGGGUUCCAUUUUAGCCAUUGAUAAUUUGAUAUAAUGCAAAACACGUGUCUGCUCUUGCUUUCCGAAUUACUCGCUUUAGUAUUGUGUUAAUGACAAAAGUCCUCCUUUUCUAUUUAUUGUCAUUGGAAAGUUUGGAGAUAAUUUAAUGAGCGGAGAAAUUUGGACCAGGUUGAAAUUUUCCAUUUAAAUUGACUUUUUCUAACAAACUGUGUAUUUAAUUUCUAAACCUCACCUACGACUACAUUUUUUAUUAUUACUCCUGACAAGAUUAUUUGAGGUCAUUUCCGAAGAAAGUGGAAGAAAAGGCUGAAAUAAUGUUUUACAUUUUUUCGAAUUUAUUACCGUACAUAUGCAGUAUCACCUCUACAAAAUAUUAUUGUUAGGACUAAGAAAAAAUAUUAUUUUUAACAAAGUUAUUUAUUUAUGAAUAAAUGAACAAUCGAUUAAUUUUUUUAAUAAUUAAUAUUUAUUAAUUUAGAAAGAGUCUCUUCUUUUUUUUCUUUUUUUUUUUUGUUAUAAGAAGCAUUUUGUUGGUACAUGUACCUAUUUACCUAUAAAAUAGCACAAAUGGUGAUUCCUCAAGUCAACAAUAUCUCCUCCAACCACUACUAUCCAUAAUAGUAUAACAAACUUGUAAUUAUACAAUAUCUAUCUUUCUUUAUUUUCCGUAUAUGUACUUAUAUAUUAUUAUUGUAUAAGCCUUUGAUAUUAAGGACAUAGGUGAGCUCAGUCUAUAAACAAAUAACUUUAUAUGCAUAUAUUGCAAAAUGUGAAUUUAGAUAAUUGAAGUUAUGAAGGGAAAAAAAAAAACUCCUUAAUAUUA
rnacentral:lncRNA from 1 species